rnacentral:rRNA from 1 species
CCCUUAGAUGCCCUGGGCCGCACGCGCGUUACACUGAUGCAUUCAACGAGCUUAUAACCUUGGCCGAGAGGCCUGGGCAAUCUUGUUAACGUGCAUCGUGAUAGGGAUAGAUUAUUGAAAUUAUUAAUCUUGAACGAGGAAUUCCUAGUAAACGCAGAUCAUCAAUCUGCAUUGAUUACGUCCCUGCCCUUUGUACACACCGCCCGUCGCACCUACCGAUUGGAUGGUCCGGUGAAGCCUCGGGAUUGUGGUUCUUGCCGCUUUAUUGUGGCGUGACCGCGAGAACUUGUCUAAACCUUAUCAUCUAGAGGAAGUAAAAGUCGUAACA